rnacentral:rRNA from 1 species
UACGUAGGGGGCAAGCGUUGUCCGGAAUUAUUGGGCGUAAAGAGCGUGUAGGCGGUCCGGUAAGUCAGCUGUGAAAGUCAAGGGCUCAACCCUUGAAAGCCGGUUGAUACUGUCGGGCUAGAGUCCGGAAGAGGGUGGCGGAAUGCCCAGUGUAGAGGUGAAAUUCGUAGAUAUUGGGUAGAACACCAGUGGCGAAGGCGGCCACCUGGGAGGGUACUGACGCUGAGACGCGAAAGCGUGGGGAGCAAACAGG